AAUCAACGCUGGCGGCGCGCUUAACACAUGCAAGUCGCACGAGAAAGUGGAGCAAUCCAUGAGUAAAGUGGCGUACGGGUGAGUAACACGUGGAUCAUCUACCUUUUAGUGGGGAAUACCCCUGGGAAACCGGGGAUAAUACCGCAUAAGCUCGUAAGAGGAAAGCCGAAAGGCGCUGAAAGAGGAGUCCGCGGCUGAUUAGCUAGUUGGUGAGGUAACGGCCCACCAAGGCGAAGAUCGGUAGCCGGCCUGAGAGGGCACACGGCCACACUGGCACUGAAACACGGGCCAGACUCCUACGGGAGGCAGCAGUGGGGAAUCUUGCACAAUGGAGGAAACUCUGAUGCAGCGACGCCGCGUGAGCGAUGAAGCCCUUCGGGGUGUAAAGCUCUUUCGACGGGAACGAUAAUGACGGUACCCGAAGAAGAAGCUGCGGCUAACUACGUGCCAGCAGCCGCGGUAAUACGUAGGCAGCAGGCGUUGUUCGGAAUUACUGGGCGUAAAGAGUGCGUAGGCGGUGCUCUAAGUCUGGUGUGAAAUCUCCCGGCUCAACUGGGAGGGUGCGCCGGAAACGGAG
rnacentral:rRNA from 1 species